UGUAGUGGCGUCGUACUGGCUAUGCAGUCGUACGAUGAUAGCCCAUUCGGGGUGGAUUAGUGGCGAACGGGUGAGUAACACGUGGGCAAUCUGCCCUUCACUCUGGGACAAGCCCUGGAAACGGGGUCUAAUACCGGAUAACACCUUCCACCUCAUGGUGGGGGGUUAAAAGCUCCGGCGGUGAAGGAUGAGCCCGCGGCCUAUCAGCUUGUUGGUGGGGUAAUGGCCUACCAAGGCGACGACGGGUAGCCGGCCUGAGAGGGCGACCGGCCACACUGGGACUGAGACACGGCCCAGACUCCUACGGGAGGCAGCAGUGGGGAAUAUUGCACAAUGGGCGAAAGCCUGAUGCAGCGACGCCGCGUGAGGGAUGACGGCCUUCGGGUUGUAAACCUCUUUCAGCAGGGAAGAAGCGAAAGUGACGGUACCUGCAGAAGAAGCGCCGGCUAACUACGUGCCAGCAGCCGCGGUAAUACGUAGGGCGCAAGCGUUGUCCGGAAUUAUUGGGCGUAAAGAGCUCGUAGGCGGCCAGUCGCGUCGGGUGUGAAAGACCGGGGCUUAACCCCGGUUCUGCAUUCGAUACGGGCUGGCUAGAGUGUGGUAGGGGAGAUCGGAAUUCCUGGUGUAGCGGUGAAAUGCGCAGAUAUCAGGAGGAACACCGGUGGCGAAGGCGGAUCUCUGGGCCAUUACUGACGCUGAGGAGCGAAAGCGUGGGGAGCGAACAGGAUUAGAUACCCUGGUAGUCCACGCCGUAAACGGUGGGAACUAGGUGUUGGCGACAUUCCACGUCGUCGGUGCCGCAGCUAACGCAUUAAGUUCCCCGCCUGGGGAGUACGGCCGCAAGGCUAAAACUCAAAGGAAUUGACGGGGGCCCGCACAAGCAGCGGAACAUGUGGCUUAAUUCGACGCAACGCGAAAAACCUUACCAAGGCUUGACAUACACCGGAAAGCAUUAAAGAUAGUGCCCCCCUUGUGGUCCGGUGUACAGGGUGGUGCAUGGCUGUCGUCAGCCUCGUGUCGUUGAGAUGUUGGGUUAAGUCCCGCAAACAAGCGCAACCCUUUGUUCUGUGUUGCCAGCAUGCCCUUCCGGGUUGAUGGGGGACUCACAAGGGAAACCCGCCGGGGUCAAAUUCGGAAGAAAGUGGGGGACCAACGUCAAAUUCAUCAUGGCCCCUUAAGGCUUGGGCUGCACAACCUUGCUACAAUGGCCCGGUACAAUUGAGCUGCGAAUACCGCAAGGGGGAAGCGAAUCUCAAAAAACCCGGUCUCCAGUUCCGAAUUGGGGUCUGGGCAACUCCACCCCUAUGAAGUCCGGAGUUGCUAGUAAUACGCAGAACACCCAAUUUGCUCGCGGGGAAAAACGUUCCCGNGGCCUUGGAACACACCCCCCCUCACGUCAAAAAAGUCGGUAACACCCGAAGCCGGGUGGCCCAACCCCUUGGGGGAAGGAACCGUCGAAGGUGGGACCAGCAAUUGGGACGAAGUCGUAAAUCCAGAGAUGACAAAAAA
rnacentral:rRNA from 1 species